GGCAGGAGAGGUCCCUCUUCUUUCUUAUCUUGUAGCACUUUAUGUUAAAACAGAAACUCUGAGACGACUCUGCUUCAACACUGUUAAACUGAAACACACAGCAGGUAUUUGGUUUAUAGCAUCCAACCCAAAGACAUUCAUGCCCUCAUCUCUGGAACCCAUGAAUCUUACCUUAUAUAGCAAGAAUGGAUUUUGCAAAUGUGAUUGAUUUAAGGAUCUUGAGGUAGGGAGAUUAUUCUGGAUUUUCUGGUCCUGCUUUAAAUGCAAUGAGAUGACUCAUUACAAGAGAAGUAGAGGGAAAUUUCAGACAAACAAGGAGGAGGCAGUGUGGCCAGGAAACAUAGGGUUGGAUGAAACAGAUAGAAG
rnacentral:lncRNA from 1 species